AUUGGACGCUGGCGGCAUGCUUUACACAUGCAAGUCGAACGGUAACAGGCCGCAAGGUGCUGACGAGUGGCGAACGGGUGAGUAAUGCAUCGGAACGUGCCCAGUCGUGGGGGAUAACGCAGCGAAAGCUGUGCUAAUACCGCAUACGAUCUAUGGAUGAAAGCGGGGGACCGUAAGGCCUCGCGCGAUUGGAGCGGCCGAUGUCAGAUUAGGUAGUUGGUGGGGUAAAGGCCCACCAAGCCAACGAUCUGUAGCUGGUCUGAGAGGACGACCAGCCACACUGGGAGUGAGACACGGCCCAGACUCCUACGGGAGGCAGCAGUGGGGAAUUUUGGACAAUGGGCGCAAGCCGGAUCCAGCAAUGCCGCGUGCAGGAAGAAGGCCUUCGGGUUGUAAACUGCUUUUGUACGGAACGAAAAGGUCUGGGUUAAUACCCUGGGCCGAUGACGGUACCGUAAGAAUAAGCACCGGCUAACUACGUGCCAGCAGCCGCCGUAAAAC
rnacentral:rRNA from 1 species